CUUUCAGCAGGGAAGAAGCGAAAGUGACGGUACCUGCAGAAGAAGCGCCGGCUAACUACGUGCCAGCAGCCGCGGUAAUACGUAGGGCGCAAGCGUUGUCCGGAAUUAUUGGGCGUAAAGAGCUCGUAGGCGGUUUGUCGCGUCUGCUGUGAAAGCCCGGGGCUCAACCCCGGGUCUGCAGUGGGUACGGGCAGACUAGAGUGCAGUAGGGGAGACUGGAAUUCCUGGUGUAGCGGUGAAAUGCGCAGAUAUCAGGAGGAACACCGAUGGCGAAGGCAGGUCUCUGGGCUGUAACUGACGCUGAGGAGCGAAAGCAUGGGGAGCGAACAGGA
rnacentral:rRNA from 1 species